rnacentral:rRNA from 1 species
GACGAACGCUGGCGGCGUGCUUAACACAUGCAAGUCGAACGGAAAGGCCCUGCUUGCGGGGUACUCGAGUGGCGAACGGGUGAGUAACACGUGGGUGAUCUGCCCUGCACUUCGGGAUAAGCCUGGGAAACUGGGUCUAAUACCGGAUAGGAGCCAUUUUUAGUGUGAUGGUUGGAAAGUUUUUUCGGUGUAGGAUGAGCUCGCGGCCUAUCAGCUUGUUGGUGGGGUAAUGGCCUACCAAGGCGGCGACGGGUAGCCGGCCUGAGAGGGUGGACGGCCACAUUGGGACUGAGAUACGGCCCAGACUCCUACGGGAGGCAGCAGUGGGGAAUAUUGCACAAUGGGCGCAAGCCUGAUGCAGCGACGCCGCGUGGGGGAUGACGGCCUUCGGGUUGUAAACUCCUUUCGCUAGGGACGAAGCUUUUUGGGACGGUACCUAGAUAAGAAGCACCGGCUAACUACGU